GGGUUGUGAGGUUAAGUGACUAAGCGUACACGGUGGAUGCCCUGGCAGUCAGAGGCGAUGAAGGACGUGCUAAUCUGCGAAAAGCGUCGGUAAGGUGAUAUGAACCGUUAUAACCGGCGAUGUCCGAAUGGGGAAACCCAGUGCAAUUCGUUGCACUAUCGUUAACUGAAUACAUAGGUUAACGAGGCGAACCGGGGGAACUGAAACAUCUAAGUACCCCGAGGAAAAGAAAUCAACCGAGAUUCCCCCAGUAGCGGCGAGCGAACGGGGAGCAGCCCAGAGUCUGAAUCAGCUUGUGUGUUAGUGGAACGGUCUGGAAAGUCCGACGGUACAGGGUGAUAGUCCCGUACACCAAAAUGCACAGGCUGUGAACUCGAAGAGUAGGGCGGGACACGUGGUAUCCUGUCUGAAUAUGGGGGGACCAUCCUCCAAGGCUAAAUACUCCUGACUGACCGAUAGUGAACCAGUACCGUGAGGGAAAGGCGAAAAGAACCCCGGCGAGGGGAGUGAAAAAGAACCUGAAACCGUGUACGUACAAGCAGUGGGAGCACCUUCGGGUGUGACUGCGUACCUUUUGUAUAAUGGGUCAGCGACUUAUAUUCUGUAGCAAGGUUAACCGUAUAGGGGAGCCGCAGGGAAACCGAGUCUUAACUGGGCGUUAAGUUGCAGGGUAUAGACCCGAAACCCGGUGAUCUAGCCAUGGGCAGGUUGAAGGUUGGGUAACACUAACUGGAGGACCGAACCGACUAAUGUUGAAAAAUUAGCGGAUGACUUGUGGCUGGGGGUGAAAGGCCAAUCAAACCGGGAGAUAGCUGGUUCUCCCCGAAAGCUAUUUAGGUAGCGCCUCGUGAAUUCAUCUUCGGGGGUAGAGCACUGUUUCGGCUAGGGGGUCAUCCCGACUUACCAACCCGAUGCAAACUACGAAUACCGAAGAAUGUUAUCACGGGAGACACACGGCGGGUGCUAACGUCCGUCGUGAAGAGGGAAACAACCCAGACCGCCAGCUAAGGUCCCAAAGUCAUGGUUAAGUGGGAAACGAUGUGGGAAGGCACAGACAGCCAGGAUGUUGGCUUAGAAGCAGCCAUCAUUUAAAGAAAGCGUAAUAGCUCACUGGUCGAGUCGGCCUGCGCGGAAGAUGUAACGGGGCUAAACCAUGCACCGAAGCUGCGGCAGCGACACUAUGUGUUGUUGGGUAGGGGAGCGUUCUGUAAGCCUGCGAAGGUGUGCUGUGAGGCAUGCUGGAGGUAUCAGAAGUGCGAAUGCUGACAUAAGUAACGAUAAAGCGGGUGAAAAGCCCGCUCGCCGGAAGACCAAGGGUUCCUGUCCAACGUUAAUCGGGGCAGGGUGAGUCGACCCCUAAGGCGAGGCCGAAAGGCGUAGUCGAUGGGAAACAGGUUAAUAUUCCUGUACUUGGUGUUACUGCGAAGGGGGGACGGAGAAGGCUAUGUUAGCCGGGCGACGGUUGUCCCGGUUUAAGCAUGUAGGCUGGUUGUCCAGGCAAAUCCGGAUAAUCAAGGCUGAGGUGUGAUGACGAGGCACUACGGUGCUGAAGUAACAAAUGCCCUGCUUCCAGGAAAAGCCUCUAAGCAUCAGGUAACAUCAAAUCGUACCCCAAACCGACACAGGUGGUCAGGUAGAGAAUACCAAGGCGCUUGAGAGAACUCGGGUGAAGGAACUAGGCAAAAUGGUGCCGUAACUUCGGGAGAAGGCACGCUGGUGUGUAGGUGAAGUCCCUGCGGAUGGAGCUGAGACCAGUCGAAGAUACCAGCUGGCUGCAACUGUUUAUUAAAAACACAGCACUGUGCAAACACGAAAGUGGACGUAUACGGUGUGACGCCUGCCCGGUGCCGGAAGGUUAAUUGAUGGGGUUAUCCGUAAGGAGAAGCUCUUGAUCGAAGCCCCGGUAAACGGCGGCCGUAACUAUAACGGUCCUAAGGUAGCGAAAUUCCUUGUCGGGUAAGUUCCGACCUGCACGAAUGGCGUAAUGAUGGCCAGGCUGUCUCCACCCGAGACUCAGUGAAAUUGAACUCGCUGUGAAGAUGCAGUGUACCCGCGGCAAGACGGAAAGACCCCGUGAACCUUUACUAUAGCUUGACACUGAACAUUGAGCCUUGAUGUGUAGGAUAGGUGGGAGGCUUUGAAGCGUGGACGCCAGUCUGCGUGGAGCCAACCUUGAAAUACCACCCUUUAAUGUUUGAUGUUCUAACGUUGGCCCCUUACCGGGGUUGCGGACAGUGUCUGGUGGGUAGUUUGACUGGGGCGGUCUCCUCCCAAAGCGUAACGGAGGAGCACGAAGGUUAGCUAAUCCUGGUCGGACAUCAGGAGGUUAGUGCAAUGGCAUAAGCUAGCUUGACUGCGAGCGUGACGGCGCGAGCAGGUGCGAAAGCAGGUCAUAGUGAUCCGGUGGUUCUGAAUGGAAGGGCCAUCGCUCAACGGAUAAAAGGUACUCCGGGGAUAACAGGCUGAUACCGCCCAAGAGUUCAUAUCGACGGCGGUGUUUGGCACCUCGAUGUCGGCUCAUCACAUCCUGGGGCUGAAGUAGGUCCCAAGGGUAUGGCUGUUCGCCAUUUAAAGUGGUACGCGAGCUGGGUUUAGAACGUCGUGAGACAGUUCGGUCCCUAUCUGCCGUGGGCGCUGGAGAAUUGAGGGGGGCUGCUCCUAGUACGAGAGGACCGGAGUGGACGCAUCACUGGUGUUCGGGUUGUCAUGCCAAUGGCACUGCCCGGUAGCUAAAUGCGGAAGAGAUAAGUGCUGAAAGCAUCUAAGCACGAAACUUGCCCCGAGAUGAGUUCUCCCUGAGACUUUAAGUCUCCUGAAGGAACGUUAAAGACGAUGACGUUGAUAGGCCGGGUGUGUAAGCGCAGCGAUGCGUUGAGCUAACCGGUACUAAUGAACCGUGAGGCUUAACCUUACAACGCCGAAG
rnacentral:rRNA from 1 species